AUGGCGCCGUCCAAGAAGGUGCUGAUGCUGUGCGGCGACUACAUGGAGGACUACGAGGCGGCCGUGCCCUUCUACGCGCUGGCCGGCCUGGGCGUCGCCGUCCACUGCGCCACCCCGGGCAAGGCCCCCGGCGACCCCUGCCUCACCGCCGUGCACGACUUCCUCGGCUACGAGCUCUACACGGAGAUCCCCGGCCACCGCUUCCGCGUCACCGCCGACUUCGCCGCGGCGGCGGCCGACCCGUCCUCGUACGACGCCCUCGUCGUCCCGGGCGGCCGCUUCGUGGAGCAGCUCAGCGUUGACCCCGAGGCGGUCGCCCUCGUCGGGGCGUUCGCGGGCGAGCUGCGCAGGCCGGUCGUGCUCACGUGCCACAGCCAGGUCCUGCUCGCCGCUGCGGGCGCCAUGGGCGGCGUCCGCUGCACGGCGUUCUUCAGCCUGCGGCCCGUCGUGGAGCUGGCCGGCGGGACCUGGGUCGAGCCCGAUCCCUUCAGCCUGUGCGUCGCCGAUGGCCACGUCCUGACCGCCAUCGGGUGGCCCGCGCACGGGGAGAUCAUCGGGCAGCUCGUGCGCGCCUUGGGCGGCCGAGUCCUCGGCGGGCGCGGCCAGGGCGUCCUCUUCCUCUGCGCCGACUACGUGGACGACUACGAGGCGAACGUGCCCUUCCGCGCGCUGGCCGGCGUGGGCUGCCGCGUGGAGGCGGCGUGCCCGACGAAGCGCAAGGGCGAGCCGUGCGUCACGGCGAUCUACGACGACGUCGCCGUGGCCCCCGGCGCGGUGAGCGACGAGAAGCGUGGGCACAACUUCGUGAUGACCGUGGACUGGGCCGACAUCAACGUCGACGACUACGAGUGCGUGGUCGUGCCCGGAGGCCGGUCGCCGGAGCUGCUCGUGACGAACGAGAAGGCGGUGGCGCUGGUGGGGCAGUUCGCGGCCAAGGGGAAGGUGGUCGCCAGCAUCGACCAGGGGCACCUCGUCCUCGCCGCGGCGGGGCUCCUCAAGGGCAAGCGGUGCGCGAGCGGAGUGCCCAUGAGGGUGGUCUCCAACCUCGCCGGCGCGGCGGCCGUGGAGCCCCAAGGGGCGGUCGCCGACGGGAAGCUCGUGACGGCGGCGAGCUGGCCGGACCUUGCCGAGUUCAUAGCUCGCCUCGUGGAUCUCUUGGGCAUCACCGUCUCGUUCUAA
rnacentral:rRNA from 1 species